GCAAUACACCAGCGGCAGACGGGAGAGUAACACGUGGGAACGUGCCCUUCAGUUCGGAACAACCCAGGGAAACUUGGGCUAAUACCGGAUACGUCCGAAAGGAGAAAGAUUUAUCGCUGAAGGAUCGGCCCGCGUCUGAUUAGCUUGUUGGUGAGGUAACGGCUCACCAAGGCGACGAUCAGUAGCUGGUCUGAGAGGAUGAUCAGCCUCACUGGGACUGAGACACGGCCCAGACUCCUACGGGAGGCAGCAGUAGGGAAUAUUGGACAAUGGGCGCAAGCCUGAUCCAGCCAUGCCGCGUGGGUGAUGAAGGCCCUAGGG
rnacentral:rRNA from 1 species